UACGAAGGGGGCUAGCGUUGUUCGGAAUUACUGGGCGUAAAGCGCACGUAGGCGGAUACUUAAGUCAGGGGUGAAAUCCCGGGGCUCAACCCCGGAACUGCCUUUGAUACUGGGUAUCUCGAGUCCGGAAGAGGUGAGUGGAAUUCCGAGUGUAGAGGUGAAAUUCGUAGAUAUUCGGAGGAACACCAGUGGCGAAGGGCGGCUCACUGGGACCGGUACUGACGCUGAGGCGCGAAAGCGUGGGGAGCAAACAGG
rnacentral:rRNA from 1 species